rnacentral:lncRNA from 1 species
CUGGCGAGGCGCGGUAGCCGCUGGGGCUGCAGGUCGGGAGGACCCCGGAGCCCGGGCCCCGCGGCCUCCGAGCACACGCGGGCGGCGGCUGCGCCCCGACGCGCAGCCCCCGUGCCUCCCCGGGCCCCGCACCCCGGCCGGGCCACGCGGGCGGAGGGGGCGCGGGGUCUCCGCUCUAGCCGUGCGGCCGCCCCCCUUUGUUUUGCCGCCUGCGCGGCUGGGACCUGCGCUCGAGGACCAGGGCCGUGGGGCCCGAAACGCAGCGUGGGGUGGGACACUUUUUUUUUUUUAACUUUUAUUUUUUGAGAUGGAGUCUUGCUCUAUCGCCCAGGCUGGGUGCCGUGGCGCGAUCUCGGCUCACUCCGUCUCCCGGGUUCAUGCCAUUCUCCUGCCUCAGCCUCCCGAGUACCUGGGACUACAGGCGCCAGCCACCACGCCCGGCUAAUUUAUUUAUUUUAUUUUAUUUUAUUUUUAGUAGAGACGGGCCAGGAUGGUCUCGAUCUCCUGAUCUCGUGAUCCGCAGGUGGGACUCUUUAAGAAAAAGAACGCAAGCCGGGCACGGUGGUUCACGCCUGUAGUCCCAGAACUUUGGGAGGCCGAGGCGGGCGUAUCACCUGAGGUCGGGAGUUCGAGACCAGCCUGACCAACAUGGAGAAACCCCGUCUCUACUAAAAAUACAAAAUUAGCCGGACGUGGUGGCGGGCACCUGUAAUCUCAGCUACUCGGGGAGGCUGAGGCAGAAGAAUCAGUUGAACCCGGGAGGCGGAGGUUGCGGUGAGCCGAGAUCGCGCUAUUGCACUCCAGCCUGGGCAACAAGAAUGAAACUGCGUUUCAAAAAAAAAGAAAAAGAAUGGAAAACUGUGAAAACAUCGGUUGCAAAAAUGAAUGGUUUUGCAUGAUGUUUAUUUUCUGUAAUGUAUAAAGUGUAUAUGUUAUAUGACAAUAAUUCUGUAAUACCCUAUUUUCCAGCCGUUUUGUAUAAUGAGAAAGGUCAUUAUACAUUAUCAUUGAACAACUUUUUUAGGAUUUUUAUUUUUAUAGACAGGGUCUCACUCUGUGGCCCACGCUGGAGCACAACAUUGAGAUCUCAGCUCACUGCAGCCUCGACGUCCUGCGCUCAAGCGAUGGGACUAUAGGCGCGGCCCCCACGCCUGGCUAAUUUUUGUAUUUUGUGGGGUAGAGAUGGGGUCUCCGUGCCGCCCUGGCUCGUCGGUCUGGAACUCCUGAGCUCGCGUGAUCCUCCCGCCUCGGCCUCCCAAAGCCUGGGAUUACAGGCUUGAGCCACCGCAGGCCCUAAUCAUAGUAUUGACUUCCGGGCUUUGAAUAGAUGCUCCACAAACAAGGAACCUGAUAAAUGCAGUCUCCAUCCAAAAAGAAAACAUACAUAAAUGCUGUAUUAAAUUGGAAAUGCUGCAUUAGCAAAUGCACUCCGCGGAGGAGACAACUGUAAUUCUAACCAGGCAGUGGGAAGUUGAGUCUUCUGCUUACCGUUUUUCACACCGGAUGAUUGGAAGAACCUUGGGGACACACUGAUGGCUCCGUCCAUACAAACCUUGCUUCUCUGUUUCCCGCCGACUUCCAGCACCAAGCUCCGUUCGGCUAAGGACUCAACAGCCUCAGCCGGCCAGCAAGGAUGUGCUUCCACUGAAUGAAAAUAAUCUCUUGUGGCCGGGCGCAGUGGCUCACUUCUGUAAUCCCAGCACUUUGGAAGGCCGAGGCGGAUGGAUCACGAGGUUGAGAGAUCGAGAUCAUCCUGGCCAACACGGUGAAACCCUGUCUCUAUUAAAAAUACAAAAAUCAGCUGGGCAUGGUGGUGCGUGCCUGUAGUCCCAGCUACUCAGGAGGCUGAGGCAGGAGAAUUGCUUGAACCGGGAGGCGGAGGUUGCAGUGAGUCGACGACACCGCACCAUUGCACUCCAGCCUAGGGACAGAGCAAGACUCUGCUGUCUCAGAAAAACAAAAAAAAGAAAGAAAGAAAAAGAAAAUAUCCCAUAAACUCUGACUGGAUGUAUCUCCACUCAAGUCCCCCUUUGUUGUGUGCCAAAAAUGCUUAUCGUCACUCCAGUGCCACCAGCCCCCAGGAAGAUUGUGAUGAAGGUGGAGUUGGCCUGGAAAGAGGCAGCCUUGUUAACACUGCAGUUCAGGCCUCCUAACAUGACAAACUUAACCAACACCUGAUCUCAUGAACGCAUUGGGAGGCCCUUUUCAGAGCCUGGGAGACCCAUGCAAGUGGGGCUCAGCUAGCUCCGUAGUGAGCCUGGGCUGAGAGAGAGGGGACAGCUACAUCUAGCUGUCCUCUGCAGGUGUCCACCAAGACAGCCGCUGUCCUCACUGCCCACUCCGUCCCACUCCAUCCCACUCCGUCCGUCCCACUCCGGGGUCGUUUGUUUGCACUCCCUCCUAUUCCUGGAUUCUUCCGACUUCGGGCCCAGAGGAAAGCAGCUGAUACAAAGAAGCAGCUUUGGGGGGUCUGGUGAGCCUCUCGUAUCUCACUGGAGAUGUUGCACCAGUCUGUCUACCAGUUAUCCAUUUAGCUUCAUGCAUGGAGAAAAGACAAUUCCAAAGACUUCUGGAGAAAAAAAGUCUCUUCAUUUCCAUCUGCAGAUCUUAGUGUCUCUCUGGCAUAAUUUCCCUCCAGCCUUUCUUCGGUCCUUUUAGUACCAUCUGCUGUAGUUUCAUCUUUCAUUUAACUGAAAAUGUCUCUAUUUUGCCCUUGUGUUUGAAGGAUACACUAUUGUAUAAACGUCAUCCCAUUGUCUUCCAACUUCCAUCCUUGCCAGUGAGAAUCAGUGAUCAGUCAUUUGUGUCCUGGUUCCCCAGCAGGUUAUGUGACAAUGUGGCAUGUCCUCUGGCUCUUUCAAGACUAUCCCUGUCUUCAGUUUUCUUUUUCUUUUCUUUUUCUUUUUUUUUUCUUUUUUUUUUUUUUUUGAGACAGGGCCUCACUCUGUUGCCCAGGCUGGAGUGCAGUGGCACAAUCAUGGCUCACUGCAGCCUCAACCUCCUGGGCUCAAGUGAUCCUCCCACCUCAGCCUCCCAAAAUACUGGAAUUACAGGCAUGUUCCAACACCCCCAGCCUGAUCUUCAGUUUUCUUAGCAUGUGCCUAAGCAUAUUUUCCUUUGUAUUUACCUUGCUUGGGUUCACUGAGCUGCUUUUUUAUUUUAUUUUUUUUUGAGAUGGAAUCUUGCUGUGUCACCCAGGCUGGAGUGCAGUGGCACGAUCUUGGCUUGCUACAACCUCCACCUCCUGGGUUCAUGCCCAGCUAAUUUUCUUUUCUUUUUUUUUUUUGAGAUGGAGUUUCGCUCUUGUCAUCCAGACUGGAGUGCAGUGACAUGAUCUAGGCUCACUGCAACCUCUGCCUCCCAGGUUCAAGUGAUUUUCCUGCCUCAGCCUCCUGAAUAGCUGGGAUUACAGGCACCUGCCACCACGCCUGACUAAUUUUUUGUGUUUUUAGUAGAGACGGGUUUCAUCAUGUUGGCCAGGCUGGUCUCAAACUUUUGACCUCAGGUGAUCCGCCCGCCUCGGCCUCCCAAAGUGUUGGGACUACAGGCGUGAGCCACCACAUCUGGCCCACUGAGCUUCUUAGGACUAUAUAGUACCACACAUUCACCAUGUCGGAAACAUUUUCCUACUAUUUAUUUAUUUAGAGACAAGGUCUCACUGUGGCAUCCAGGCUGGAAUGCAGUGGCGUGAUCACAGCUCACAGCAGGCCCAACCUCCCAGGCUUAAGCGAUCCUCCCACCUCAGCCUCCCACAAUGCAGCACUUUGGGAGGCCGAGGUGGGAAAUCGCUUAAGGCCAGGAGUUCGAGACCAGCCUGGGCAACAUGGUAAAACCCUGUCUCUACAAAAACAUACAAACAAUUAGCUGGGUGUGGUGAUGUGUGCCUGUGGUCCCAGCUACUCAGGAAGCUGCAGUAGGAGGAUCACUUGAACCUGGAAGGUCAAGCCUAUGGUGAACCAUGAUCAUGCCAUCGCACUCCAGCCUGGACAACAGUAAGACCCUGUCUCAGUAAAUAAAUAAAUAAUAAAAGUCUCACAGGACAGCUUGGAUUUUUAAAAAAUCAGUGGUCACCCCCUGUCCCUCUGCCCACCAUGUUCCCAAUCCCCAGAGGUUACUGCUUCCAAGUUUCACAGCUGCUUUGUACUUUUGGGUGUUCACUUCCACAUGUUUAAGUGACAUGCUUACUCCGCUCUCACUAUGUCUUCUUUUUUCUGUUUUUGAGACGGGGUCUCACACUGUCGCCUGGGAUGGAAUGCGGUGGCGCGAUCUUGUCUCACUGCAACCUCCGCCUCCCAGGUUCAAGCAAUUCUCCUGCCUCAGCCUCCCAAGUAGCCAGGACUACAGGCACAUGCCACCAAGCCCAGCUAAUUUUUGUAUUGUUAGUAGAGACGGGGUUUCACCAUAUUGCCCAGGAUGGUCUUGAACUCUUGACCUCAUGAUCUGCCUGAUUAGGCCUCCCAAAGUUCUGGGAUUACAGGUGUGCCCAGCCAAUAUCUCAGUUUUCAUAAGUAAUCUAGGUAAUCUGUUAAAAAUAAGUAUAUUAGUACACACAAUGCCAAUGUGCCCUAAAUACGUAAAUAAAUAAAUAAAUACAUUACGUAAAUGUAAAUCUGAUAAAUUCGUUAUUUUUUUGCGACAGAGUCUCACUCCAUCUGUUGCCCAAGCUUGAGUGCAUUGGCACAAUGUCAGCUCACUACAACCUCCACCUCCUGGGUUCAAGCGAUUCUCCUGCCUCAGCCUCCCGAGUAGCUGGGACUACAGGUGCACGCCACCACACCUGGCUAAAUUUUGUAUUUUUAGUAGAGAUGGUGUUUCACCAUGUCGGCCAGGCUGGUCUCGAACUCCUGACCUCAGGUAAUCCACCACCUCAGCCUCCCAAAGUGCUGUGAUUACAGGUGUGAGCCACCAAGCCCAGCCAAUUAAUUCUUAUAAAUGAACUUUUCAUGUACUUUAAAUUUUAAAGUUGUGUUAUGUUAAAUAACAGAUGUUCUUUAAGUGUGUGGAUCAUUUCCAUAUAACAUGUGCUUCUGAUGAGGAAAAAUAUAAAAAAGGCAUAAAAUGUGAUCUUUAUUUUUUUAAAGAAUAAUUUUGUCUAAUUUGGAGGUUAUUUCAAGGUUAUUUCCAAAUAUGAAAUAAGAUAGGAAUCAGUAAGCAGGAAAGAGAAAUGUGAAGUUAUGGAUAUGAAGAUAUAUUUUGGUAAGUAAGUUUAUAAAAAAGAAAUAGCCAGGCAUGGUGGCUCAUGCAUGUAAUCCCAACACUUUGGGAGGCCGGGGCAGGCGGAUCACAAGGUCAGGAGUUUGAGGCCAGCCUGGCCAAUAUGGUGAAACCCCAUCUCUACUAAAAAUACAAAACAGCCAGGCGUGGUGGUGGGUGCCUGUAGUCCCAGCUACUCAGGAAGCUGAGGCAGGAGAAUCACUUGA